AUUGAACGCUGGCGGCAGGCCUAACACAUGCAAGUCGAACGAGUGGCGGACGGGUGAGUAAUGUAUGGGAAACUGCCUGAUGGAGGGGGAUAACUACUGGAAACGGUAGCUAAUACCGCAUACCAUCGGAUGUGCCCAGAUGGGAUUAUCUAGUCGGUGGUGUAAAGAGUCACCUAGGCGACGAUCCCUAGCUGGUCUGAGAGGAUGACCAGCCACACUGGAACUGAGACACGUUCCAGACUCCUACGGGAGGCAGCAGUGGGGAAUAUUGCACAAUGGGCGCAAGCCUGAUGCAGCCAUGCCGCGUGUAUGAAGAAGGCCUUAGGGUUGUAAAGUACUUUCAGCGUGGAAGCGUUACCCGCAGAAGAAGCACCGGCUAACUCCGUGCCAGCAGCCGCGGUAAUAC
rnacentral:rRNA from 1 species